GAUGAACGCUGGCGGCGUGCCUAAUACAUGCAAGUCGAGCGAACGGACGAGAAGCUUGCUUCUCUGAUGUUAGCGGCGGACGGGUGAGUAACACGUGGAUAACCUACCUAUAAGACUGGGAUAACUUCGGGAAACCGGAGCUAAUACCGGAUAAUAUUUUGAACCGCAUGGUUCAAAAGUGAAAGACGGUCUUGCUGUCACUUAUAGAUGGAUCCGCGCUGCAUUAGCUAGUUGGUAAGGUAACGGCUUACCAAGGCAACGAUGCAUAGCCGACCUGAGAGGGGGGGCGGCGACACGGGAGCUGAGGCGCGGUCCAGGCUGCUACGGGAGGCAGCAGUAGGGAAUCUUCCGCAAUGGGCGGAAGCCUGACGGAGCAACGCCGCGUGAGUGAUGAAGGUCUUCGGAUCGUAAAACUCUGUUAUUAGGGAAGAACAUAUGUGUAAGUAACUGUGCACAGCGUGACGGUACCUAAUCAGAAAGCCACGGCUAACUACGUG
rnacentral:rRNA from 1 species